rnacentral:tRNA from 1 species
GGCCCCGUGGUGUAGCGGCCUAACAUGCCACCCUGUCAAGGUGGAGAUCGUCGGUUCGAAUCCGAUCGGGGUCGCCA